rnacentral:rRNA from 1 species
GACGAACGCUGGCGGCGUGCUUAACACAUGCAAGUCGAACGCUGAAGACCUGGCUUUUGUUGGGUUGGAUGAGUGGCGAACGGGUGAGUAACACGUGAGUAACCUGCCCUCUUCUUUGGGAUAACGCCCGGAAACGGGUGCUAAUACUGGAUAUUCACUGAUCUUCGCAUGGGGGUUGGUGGAAAGGUUUGUUCUGGUGGGGGAUGGGCUCGCGGCCUAUCAGCUUGUUGGUGGGGUGAUGGCCUACCAAGGCUUUGACGGGUAGCCGGCCUGGGAGGGUGACCGGUCACAUUGGGACUGAGAUACGGCCCAGACUCCUACGGGAGGCAGCAGUGGGGAAUAUUGCACAAUGGGCGAAAGCCUGAUGCAGCGACGCCGCGUGAGGGAUGGAGGCCUUCGGGUUGUAAACCUCUUUCGCUCAUGGUCAAGCCGCAACUGUGGGUUGUGGUGAGGGUAGUGGGUAAAGAAGCGCCGGCUAACUACGUG